UGCGUAGGCGGACUAAUAAGUCAGUGGUGAAAUCUCUCGGCUCGACCGGGAAACUGCCAUUGAUACUGUUAGUCUUGAGUUCGGUUGAGGUAGGCGGAAUGUGUAAUGUAGCGGUGAAAUGCUUAGAUAUUACACAGAACACCAAUUGCGUAGGCAGCUUACUAGACCGACACUGACGCUGAGGCACGAAAGCGUGGGUAGCGAACAGGAUUAGAUACCCUGGUAGUCC
rnacentral:rRNA from 1 species